CCUAGCCUUCUCUCGCCCUCCCUGGGCCGCGCGGCCGGAGCUGGCACCGAGGAGCGGCGGCCGCGGCGGCAUCGCGUUCUGGACACGCCAGCGCCCCUCUGGACACGGCGUCCCCUAGCGCACCCGCCGCGCGCGGAUCUGCCUUCCGCGGUCCGGGGCUGCCCGGGGGACGUCCGGCGUUCCCCGAGGGCGGGCGUGUCCCCGCGGCGCCGGCCGGGGCGCGAGCGCGGGGCCGCAGCCUGUUGCAGUGCGGGGGGCGCCGGGCCGGGGGCGCCGGGAGCCCUGCGGGGGGCCGCGCGGCCCGGCUCCCAGUGCAGAGCAGUUUUCUCCAACUCUCCGCCUCCGUCUCCUCCGGGCCCACCGCUGCCGGGAGACCCCGUCCGGACCUGCCAAGAAAGGAGUGUCAUGAAAAAGGAACAGAAAAGACACGUCACUGUUGGUGAAAGGGGAGUUUUCUUUCCCAGUUGGUGGUUACUUCAUGAUUGGAAGAGAAGUACCUAGGUGGCCGAAGAGAUUAGAUUUUCAUAGCUGUACCGAUGAAGCUGUUUAUAAAAGAAGAUGGGAAAAUGUUUUCUCUGGGUCAUAAUAGGCUGAUGAGUAAGUAAGCCUGAAAAAAGACAGAUCUGAAAUGAGGACAGGAAUCUUGAGUGUUUUAAAACCAAGUAGGACUUUGAAUACUUGUUGAGGAUGUUUUUUUCCCCAAAAAUGGAGGAAGAAAAGAUUCUCAAAGCAAAAAGUGUAAAAAGCUGAGAGGAGUAACCAGCCGGUCAGCUCCAAGAAUUGCAGUACUUUGUCAGCUUCUCUGAGCACACACAGGCAAAGGCAUCAGACAUGUAUGAUUAUCUUACCACUGGUGAUGGUUUCCUGCUCCAGGAAUGACUUCUUAACGUGGAUUUUGGAGUGCUUUUUCUUUUUCUUUUUUUUACAAUGUGUGUUUUUUGACUCUUUGUGUUAGGUAGAUUUAUGUCAAGAAAGUAAAUUGUGAAUUCAUAGUAUUUUUGACUAUCUCCAGCCCUGUUCGCUGUGUGAUAUUGGAAAAUUAGAGGUUUUAACACUCCUUGAAGUUUUAUUGGAAGCAACAGUGCAUCAGGCAAACAGAUCCACACUGUAAGUUUCCUCUUUUUGGCAACUGUACUUGCUUUGAAUGAGCCGAAUGUCAGCUGGAUUUCACAGCAUAUCCGAUUUACAGUCUGUGUUUUAUCAAGGCCUUAAAUGUACAUUUUAUACUCAGCAGAUGGGAAACACAUUGAGCACUGUGUCUGACAUGUAUGCCUAAGGAAAGGAGCUCCCCGAUGGAUCAUGGCGUUAAUGUUUACAGGACAUUUCCUAUUUUUACUGUUAGUGAUGUUUGCUUUCUCUACUUUUGAAGAAUCUGUGAGCAAUUACUCCGACUGGGCAGUUUUCCCAGAUGACGUAGAUCAGCUUAAGACACAGAAAGUGCAAGAUUUCAGACCCAGCCAAAAGCUGAAGAAAAGUAUGCUUCAUCCGCAUUUAUAUUUUGAUGCUGGAGAGAUCCAAGCAAUGAGGCAAAAGUCUCGCACAAGCCAUGUGCAUCUUUUUAGAGCUAUCAGGAGUGCAGUGACGGUUAUGCUGUCCAACCCGACAUACUACCUACCUCCACCCAAGCACGCUGAUUUUGCUGCCAAGUGGAAUGAAAUUUAUGGUAACAAUCUGCCCCCUUUAGCACUGUACUGUUUGUUAUGCCCAGAUGACAGAGUUGCCUUUGAAUUUGUUUUGGAAUAUAUGGACAGGAUGCUGGGCUACAAAGACUGGCUGGUGGAGAACGCACCCGGGGAUGAAGUUCCAGUUGGCCAUUCCUUAACAGGCUUUGCCACCGCCUUUGACUUUUUAUAUAACGUAUUAGAUGAUCAUCGAAGGCAAAAAUACCUAGAAAAAAUAUGGGUUAUUACUGAGGAAAUGUAUGAGUAUUCCAAGGUCCGCUCCUGGGGCAAACAACUUCUUCAUAACCACCAAGCUACUAAUAUGAUAGCGUUACUCACGGGGGCCUUGGUGACUGGGGCAGAUAAAGGAUCUCAAGUCAAUCUAUGGAAACGGGUGGUAGUAGAUGUGAUGGAAAAGAUGAUGUUUCUUUUGAAUCAUAUUGUCGAUGGUACUUUGGAUGAAGGUGUUGCCUAUGGAAGCUACACGGCUAAGUCAGUCACACAGUAUGUUUUUCUGGCCCAGCGCCAUUUUAAUAUCAACAACUUGGAUAAUAACUGGUUAAGAAUGCACUUUUGGUUCUAUUAUGCCACCCUUUUGCCAGGCUUCCAAAGAACUGUGGGUAUAGCAGAUUCCAAUUAUAAUUGGUUUUAUGGUCCCGAGAGCCAGUUAGUUUUUUUGGAUAAGUUCGUCUUAAAGAACGGAGCUGGAAAUUGGUUAGCUCAGCAAAUCAGAAGGCACCGGCCUAAAGAUGGACCAAUGGUCCCCUCUACUGCCCAGAGGUGGAGUACUCUUCACACUGAAUACAUCUGGUAUGAUCCCCAGCUCACCCCACGGCCUCCUGCAGAAUAUGGUACUGCAAAAAUGCACACGUUCCCUAACUGGGGUGUUGUCACUUAUGGGGCUGGGUUGCCAAAUACACAGACCAAUACCUUUGUGUCUUUUAAAUCUGGGAAGCUAGGAGGGAGAGCUGUCUAUGACAUAGUUCACUUCCAGCCAUACUCCUGGAUUGAUGGGUGGAGAAGCUUUAACCCAGGACAUGAACAUCCGGAUCAGAACUCAUUCACUUUCGCCCCCAACGGGCAGGUAUUUGUUUCCGAAGCUCUCUAUGGACCCAAGUUGAGCCACCUUAACAACGUACUGGUGUUUGCGCCAUCACCCACAAGCCAGUGUAAUAAGCCCUGGGAAGGUCAGCUGGGAGAAUGUGCACAGUGGCUUAAGUGGACCGGCGAAGAGGUUGGUGACGCAGCGGGGGAAAUCAUUACUGCUUCUCAACAUGGGGACAUGGUAUUUGUGAGUGGGGAAGCAGUGUCAGCUUAUUCCUCAGCAAUGAAGCUGAAAAGUGUGUAUCGGGCUUUGCUUCUCUUAAACUCUCAGACUCUGCUAGUUGUUGAUCACGUCGAGAGGCAAGAAGAUUCCCCAAUAAAAUCUGUCAGUGCCUUCUUCCAUAAUCUGGAUAUUGAUUUUAAGUACAUCCCAUAUAGGUUCAUGAACAGGUAUAACGGCGCCAUGAUGGAUGUGUGGGAUGCACAUUACAAAAUGUUUUGGUUUGAUCAUCGUGGCAGUAGCCCCAUUGCUAGUAUACAGGAAGCAGAGCAAGCCGCUGAAUUUAAGAAACGGUGGACUCAAUUUGUUAAUGUUACAUUUCAGAUGGAAUCCACAAUCACAAGAAUCGUAUAUGUCUUUUAUGGGCCAUAUGUCAAUGUUUCCAGCUGCAGAUUUAUUGAUAAUUCCAAUUCUGGACUUCAGAUUUCUCUCAAUGUCAAUAAUACUGAACAUGUUGUUUCCAUUGUAACUGACUACCAUAACUUGAAAACAAGGUUCGAUUACCUGGGAUUUGGCGGCUUUGCCAGUGUGGCUGAUCAGGUCCAAAUAACUCGAUUUGGUUUGGGCACUCAAGCAAUAGUGAAGCCCAUAAGACAUGACAGAGUGAUUUUUCCCUUUGGAUUUAAAUUUAAUGUAGCAGUUGGGCUGAUUUUGUGCAUCAGCUUGGUGAUCUUAACUUUUCAGUGGCGGUUUUACCUUUCUUUUAGAAAGCUAAUGCGGUGGAUCCUCACCCUUGUUAUUGCCUUGUGGUUCGUUGAGCUGGUGGAUGUGUGGAGCACUUGCACUCAGCCCAUCUGUGCAAAGUGGGCGAGGCCGGAGGCCGAGGCGAGCGCGAAGCCUGUGUCUCCCCAAGGGCACCGCAUCUAUCUUCCUGACAUCGUCAUUACCUCACUUCCCGGCUCAGGAGCUGAAAUUCUCAAACAGCUCUUCUUCAACAGCAGUGACUUUCUCUACAUCAGGGUGCCCACAGCCUACAUGGACAUCCCUGAAACUGACUUCGAGAUGGACUCCUUUGUGGACGCCUGUGAGUGGAAGGCAUCCGAUGUCCACGGUGUGCAUUUCCGUUUACUGCGAGGCUGGCUGCAGUCCUUGGUCCAAGACACAAAACUCCAUUUGCAAAACAUCCAUCUGCACGAACCCAGCAGGGGUAAACUGGCCCAAUAUUUGAGCACGAAUAAGGACAAAAAAAGGAAGUUGAAACGGAGAGAGUCUUUGCCAGAACAAAGAAGCAGAAUGAAAGGCGCCUUUGACAGAGACGCUGAGUACAUUCGGGCUCUGAGGAGACACCUGGUCCAUUACCCCAGUGCGCGGCCCGUGCUCAGCCUGACCAGUGGGAGCUGGACCUUAAAGCUGCAUUUCUUUCACGAAGUUUUAGGAGCUUCGAUGAGGGCCUUGUACGUGGUGAGGGACCCUCGGGCGUGGAUUUAUUCGAUGCUGUACAGUAGUAAACCAAGCCUUUACUCUUUGAAGAAUGUACCAGAGCACUUAGCUAAAAUGUUUAAAAUAGAGGGAGGUAAAGGCAAAUGUAACUUAAAUUCGGGCUAUGCUUCUGAGUAUGAAUCAUUGAGGAAAGAAUUAUCAAAAUCCAAGCCACACGCGGUGUCCCUGCUGGCUCACGUGUGGCUAGCAAACACCGCAGCAGCCCUGAGGAUAAACACAGACCUGCUGCCUACCAGCUACCAGAUGAUCAAGUUUGAAGAUAUUGUGCAUUUUCCUCAGAAAACCACUGAAAGGAUUUUUGCCUUUCUUGGAAUUCCUUUGUCUCCUGCUAGUUUAAACCAAAUAUUGUUUGCCACCUCCACGAACCUUUUCUAUCUUCCCUAUGAAGGGGAAAUAUCACCAACUAAUACUAAUGUCUGGAAACAGAACUUGCCUAGAGAUGAAAUUAAACUGAUUGAAAACAUCUGCUGGACACUGAUGGAUCGUCUAGGAUAUCCAAAGUUUAUGGACUAAAUGCUGCAGUGUCAAAAUGAAUGAAAAUCCUAUUAAUACAGGUUGAGAGGGCAACUGAAGACCUGAAUCCACACUAUUAUUCUCAAGGAAGAUUAUUCGUCCUAUCUCAGGGUUAUCAACAAGCAUGUAACAUUUCUACAUGGAUGAUCACACUGUUUCCAUUACUGGUCAGAGUCUCGGUGUUUGCUUUCAAUUCCCAGGAUGCGUGACCUUAAAUCAGAUCAAAUAAAAGGCUCUGGGUUGAAAGUAAUAUUAGGUCUGAUCAAGAUGACAACCGAGGAGCAAACUCCAGAACCUCCAGCCAGAAACUCAGCCUUCCAGCAAGGAGUGCAAGAGAGCAUGCACCUCUGCAUUGGGACCAGGUGCCACAGAUCUAUGAUAGUAGGGUUCAUACCACUGAAGAGAGAAAUUCCUUUUCUUUCUUUCAUUGGUUUUCCUUGGAUAUUGCUGUCCACACCCCUGCUGAGGUUCACUGUAUGCAAAUUAGAAGACACUACUUUGCUGAUUCUUGCAUAUGCCAUCUCUACUGCCCCCUACUUAUCAAACUGUAGGUAUUAUGGAUAUGCAAGAUAGGUUAUGCCAAUAUGUUGACACUGAAAAGAUGUGCUGACCCUACCAGAAGCCCUCCUCUAUGAUAUUUAUAAGUAACUGCGGCCAGAGCUGGGACUUAGAGUCAGAAUUCCUAUACUCACAUACUCUAUAAUAUGGUACAAAGCAUAUAUAUCUGACCUUCCAUUACCGUAUCCUCCUGCUCUCACCAGCGAUCCCAGAGGUAACGUCUAUCCUGGAUUUUGUGUUUACCAUCCCCUUGCUCUUCUUUAUAGCCCCACCACAUAUGUCUCUAUCCUUAUCAACAUAUUGUAUAUUUUUGCAUGUUUGUAUACUUUAUGUAAACAGUAACAUACUGCAUAUAUUCUUGUGCAACUUGCUUUUCUUUGCUCAAAAUUUUGUCUAAUGCAUGUUGAUGUCUGUAGGUGGAGAUCACUUAUUUUCAUCGUGGUAGGUUCCAAUAUAUGCUAUUAUCUGAAAUACCAUACUUUAUCUUUCAUCUUGUUGGAUUUUGGGAAUAUUUUUAAUUUUUGCAAUUUCAAACAUUAUAUAUAAAACUGUUUAUAGAUGCUGUAUAAUGCACAUAUACAAGAAUUUUGUCAUUGUGUUUUGUUUGUACCCAGAAUCUUCCCACCCAGCCCCACUCCAGCCUAGUAUAUAUAUUGAGGGCUCAAAGCACAUCCUCAACUAUUCUUGGUACCAAAUUAUCAUUUUUACAGAUUGUUUGUACAAAUUGACACUCUAGCCAUUGUAGAAAAGUUUGUGUUGCUCCAAAAUUUCUCCUGUACUUGACAUUUUCAUACUUUUAGAUGUUUUUCUGUCUAGUGGGGUAAAAGAGUGUUGCGUUUCUGUUUUUUUUUUUGCAGUUCUGUUAAUAACAUAGCACACGCAUGCAGCACGCGCACUCAUGCGCGCACGCGCACACAGUAGUCCUUAUUUUUUCCAUUUGUGUUUCUUCUUUUGUGAAAUGAAAUCCAUGUUCAAGUCUUGCAUCCAUUUUUCCAUUGCAUUCAUUUUUUUUCUCAUUGAUUCAUUGACAUUUAUAGUAUAUUAAUAAUACUAAUCCUUUUUUGGUUAUACUCGUGAAUAACUUCUUGGCUUAUAUUUUCAUGAUCUUUCUACUAUGACUUUUGUGAUAUAUUUUGAUAUGCAGGUGUUCUUAAUUUGAAUGUGAACAAAUAUGUGUUUUUCUUUAUUACUUGUACUUUUUUGCAUCUUAUUAAAGAAUCUUUCUUAAGGUCUUGGCACUGAAGAUGUUCUCCUCUAUUUUCUUCCAAGCAUUUUAAUUUUCUCAUCAUCAUCUAUUGCCGCAAAACAAUAUUACCACAAUUGUAAUGGCUUAGAACAGCACAUGUUCGUCAUCUCACAGUUUCCGUGGGUCAGGAAUCCAGGCGUGGCUGAACUGCGUCCUCUGCUCUUAUAUGUGGCUGCAGUGAAGUAGCUGGGCCUGGGAUCUCCUCUGAGAAGCAUCCACUUCCACGCUCACGUGGUUGUUGGCAAGAUGUAGUUCUUUGUGGGUUGCUGGAUUAAAAGCUUCAGUUCUUUUCUGGAUGUUGGCUGGAGACCCUGAGUCACUUGCCAUGUGAGCUUCUCCAUUGGCAGGUAACUUCAUAAAAGCCAAGAUGAGAGAAUCAAUAGAGAAACUGCUAACACAUUACCAUAAUCAUGGAAGUGACACCCAGUCAACUUUGGUGAGAAGCAAGUCAGAGGUCCCCCUACGCCCACACCCAAGGGAAAGGGACUUCACAAGGGCAUGAAUCCCAGGAGAUGGAAGAACGGGCUUAUUUUAGAGUGUCCCUGCCACAGAUUUUGUCUUUUAUAUUUAAAUAGUUAAUCUGCUUUAUAUUAAUUGUUAUGUCUAUUCUGAGAUUUUGUUCUCUGUAUAAAUAACCUGCUGUCCUAGACUGAAGAGAUUCAGUACCCUUUUCUUUUCCACUAAUCUUCAAUGCCGUCUUCACUACAUAUCAGGUCCUUAUAUUUUGUGUGAGCUGAUUUCGGAGUUCUCUACUGUAUUCUUCUGGCAAAUUCGACUACCCAGUGACAAUACCGCACUAUCUUAACUACUAUAGUCGUUUUGUUAGCCUUGAAAUCUGGCAAGCCUUUUUCCUUUUUUUUUCUUCAUUUCUUUAGCCUUUGUUCUUCCAUGUGCAUUUUAGAAUUAGUUUGCGUAGUCCCCCAAAACAAACAACAAUACAUGUUAAUGGUAAAUGCAUUACAUCAAUUUUGGGAGAAUCGACCUCUUUACAUUAAUCCCUGUUCAUAAGCAUGGUAUAUCUCUCCUUUUAUAUAAUAUUUCUUAAUCCUUUGAUAGAUUUAAGGAUGAGCACUUUAUAAAUUGUUAUUACAGUGGAUGAUAUUUAUUUUUAAUUAUAUGUUCUAACUGAUGAUAGUAUAUAGAAAAUACAAUUGAUUUUUGUGUAUUUAUAUUGUAUCAGGGAACUUAUAAAUCCUCUUACUAAUUUAAUAAUUUACCUGUAAAUUUUUUCAAAAUACUUAUACAGAUGCUUUUGUAAUCUUCAAGUAAUGAGAAUAUAUUUCCUUCCUUUUAAUCUUAUAACUUUUUUAAUGUUCUUACUGGAUUUGUUAGGACAUCCUGUAAAAUACUGAGUGAGUCUGGUAAUGUGAAUAUUCUUGUACUGUUCCUAAUGUGAAUGGAGUGCUUCUACAUUUCACCACUGAGCAAAUGAAUGGAUGCUGUGUGUAUUUCAUAGACUCACUUUAUCAGGAUGUCGUAUUCCCUUGUACUCCCAGUUGAUAAGUGACUUUUUAUCAUCAAAGCAUGAUGAGAUUUAUUCAAUGCUUUUGCUGCAUUUAUUGUGAUAACCAUGUUUCUUUGCCUUUAUCUGUUAAGGUAGUGUAUUUUGUGAAAUUUUUUUUCUUUUGAGAUUAAACCAAACUUGGCUUGCUGUGAUAAAACCAGCCUGGGAAUGAUUCAUUAUAUUUAUAUUUGUUGCUGGAUUGAGUUUGUUAAUAAUUAAUUUAAGAUGUUUAUAUCAACAUUUGUAAUUGUGAUUUUCUCAUAAUAAACUUGUUUAAGUUUGAGGUCAACAUACUUGUCACAUAAAGUAAACUGAGGAUGUUCUAUUUUUAUAUCUUCUAGGCGAGUUUGCAUAGGAUUGAAAUGAUCUAAUACAAGAAUGUUUGUUA